CUUUUGGUUGGGAAGAGUGGUAUGUGCGCGCCUCUCGCUGCCUCCCUCGCCGCCCCGGGGAAGAAGGAAGUCAGAUACAUCUAUAAACAUCUUUUAAGAAACAAGAAGCAAUGAAUAUAAUGGGACUCCUAAAUAAAAGACUUGCUGCGUCAGAACUAAAAUGUCAAUAGGAUGUUCUCUCUCUUUUUGUUUCUCCUUUCAUUGCUGCUCUCACUGCUCAUAACAUCAUUUUAUUAUCAAAGAAUGGUAGAGAAAAGUGGAGCAAAGCUAAUAGUCUUUCUCUUGUAGUCUCUCUGGAUGUAGUCUUUUCAUAAGUGUCUUGAACUUGACCUCUUUUGAACGACACAGAGGUCCAACACACAUUUUAAAAAGUUAUAUUUAAAUUUUAAUGUUUUUUUUUAAUUCUGCAAAGCUAUUUAAUAACACACUCUCAAAACACAGAGCGUAAAUCUUUCAGGAUGGUCAUAGAACAGAAACUGGUGGACAAAGCAAAGAAGCUCAGCAAAUGCCCUGAAGCAGCUUUCUUUCUUUUACAUAGAUACCUAUCACAGAUGAAUGUUCACGUGGUUUUUAAAAAGCUUUAUUAUGAUUUAAUCACCAUGGUGCUGAUACUAAAAAUAUAAUUUAGUAAAGAAUGAAGUUUGCUUUUUUAAUACCCCACCCCUCAUUAUAAAAAUGUUCUUUGUAGUGAGGCAAUGGGGGCAUUAGAAAGAUUUACAGUAACAAUAUAAGUGACUAUAAUGAACUAGGGAACAAGGGAGUAUUGUUAUGAUAGAGAUCCUCUAGCAUUUCUAUCAGCACAAAUAUUGAGGGACACAGUCUCCUUUCUGUGUAUCUGUAUAUUAAUAUUAACAUGAGCAGUAAUUACAGGUACUUGGGAUAAAGUUUAUUUAUGAGAACAGAAUACUUAAAGGUAAGCUGUAAAAAUUAAAGUCAUCUACCUGUAACAAAACCAUUAUCACCCAUGGCUGUUCUGCAGUAUGUCAAUUAUGUUUAUUCAGAAUAUCUAAGCAUCUUUACAUUCUACUAAUAUUAUUAAUAUUAAUUUGCCAUACUUUAUUUCAACUUCUAAUACAGCUGAGCUUGGGGACCUGUCCUUAUUUAUUGAAGGACAGAACUGGCCACAUCAUCAUUUGUGUAACUAAAACCCACUCAAAUCAUGCUGGUACAGCAUUGAUCCUUUGCAAGCCUUAUUAGAAUGAAAAGUUCUUAACCUACAUUGAAGGUUUUACCUUCUAAGUUUUACCUUGUCCUUAAAAUUUUUAUAUCUUGCUGUUUAUCUGUUUAAGUAGAAGAGCCUGUUCCUACAUGUCAGUGAUUCAGCGCAACCAUUAUCAAAAUUAUCAAGCUUUGAUCAAAGAAAAGAUAAGCAAGGAUAAUAUCCAGAUAGCAUUUUUACAACACUACCUCAGAAUUUUCCAGUUAAUUCUCCAAGUUCAGAUAACCUCAGAAAAUACCAAUAAGAUAAAAUGGGUUUUGCUCUGAUUGUCUAUAGACUGUCCUAUUCUCACCUGUUAAUUGUUUUAAACAAGCAAAUGAUGGAAGCAAUUAUGAUAGAAUUUGACCAGUUUUUAACAGUUGCCAUAGCACAUUUGACCAGCAGUUGUGGAAAAUUUUUAAAGGAUGAAUUCACCAUGAAGGUACUGCAAUCAGUAAGUAUUCCCAUUACUAUGAAGAUUACUUUAUUUAUGCAAUUAUUUUGGCUUACAUGUAACUCCAUUUAUGAAGGCUUCAAAUAGCUUUCAAUUAACAUAAAUUUAAAAACUAGAAUAUUAAUAGUAUAAUCAAUACAGCAAGAACAUUUUGAUGUAUCGCUCAUUUGAGCAGCAGAUCUUUAGUCAUCCCCAUAUGCUGUCUGGCAGAGCCAUGAUUCCAUAAUUCUUUGAAAAUGGGGGAUUCUGGAGCUGAAAUCCACAGAUCUUAAAGUUAUUAAGGUUGAGAAACACUGGUCUAAGGUUAGGCUGUUUCAGAAAUGGGGGGGGGCAUUGCUGAGUACAAUAUGUGUUUUCUGUUGGUGACCUUCCUGUAGGCUUGGAAUUCUCAACAAGUUGUUCUUAAUAGAUAUCAUUGGGCAGACAGAUUCAACUUGGAUGAACUAUUCAGUUAUUUUAACUUUUAAAAAUGCAAACAGGAUAUCAUGAGAGAGAGAAAAAUGUUUUCAUGUUGGAUUUUUCUAAAUAUUAAAAAGAACCAGGGAAUCAUUUGUAUAUGAAAAUAUUUAUCAGGAAGAGACAAGUUAUUGCUACAAGAGCAAUGAGUUUAUGAGAAUUUCUUUGCCAUAAUACAUUGUUCAGAGAAAAUAUUCUAUCAUUUAUGGGAUAUUGUUCUCCUGGAUUUAAAGAUUUAUUGAUAGCCUGGCUGGUAAAUCUUGGCUUCUAUGAGAAUGGCCUAGUGGCCUAGUGGUAAAGUCACUUUUCUCCUGCUUAGAAGGUUGAGCGUUAAAUCCUGGGUAGUGGCAGAUGUUUCUUUCCUAGGGUGGAAAGAAAAAAUAUCUGCUGCAAACCCCGCAUAGGUUUCUAUAAGAUUGUGAUAAAUCUCCAGACUCUUCUAAAUGUGUCUUACUAUGUAAGAGAUUUGAAAGUUUCUUUUCACAUUUUGGUUGUAAAAGCGUGUUUAUUUUUAACCUAAAACAUACUAGUGAAAGCUUUUUAUGUAUGUGCAAUUAUUUUGGCAAUAGAUUAUCACAUUGUAUGUAUGUAUGUAUGUAUGUAUGUAUGUAUGUAUCAGCAAAAUUCUUAUCUUAGUAUCAGAACAAUGUAUUUUUAAUUUUAUAAAGUCUAAGGGGAAAAAUGCAUUAUUUCGACAUUGGGCUUAAAAAACCAGUCUAAUGAUACAUGCUGAUCUGUCAGUUUUAUCUUUGUUUAAUUCCCAGUUUGCUAAUAUAGAACAUCCAAAUGUUGUUUAACAUGCAAAGUUUGUACACAUAGAGCAGGUGUGAGGGGGGUACAUAGGAAAUUGCAACGAGUAAAGGGUGUAGCCUUUUUCUUCUACUAAUGGAAAUAAUUGGAGUGGAAAAAAUGCAUCAUUUUUUUAUUCAAAAAGUCAAAAUAAUCUAGUUCAGCUACAGUUUUUUUAACAGAAUUAAUUUUAUUUAAAUUUGAAUACACUGAAUUAAUUUUACUGUUCAUUCCUCAGGCUGUAAAGUUAUUCAUAAUAUUUAUCUUGACUCAAUCUUCUUGGUGGUUUCUUUACAUCAAUGGACAUUGUACAAUGUGUAAUAUAGUCUUGCUAAUGGGCUCACUUUAAAGUAUUUCUCCUCAAGGUUACUACUAUUGUAGCAUUAUUUGCAGUGAUAACUCAAAUUUAGAAAGGUGUGAAAAGAGGGUGUGGUUCUCUACAAUUACCCUAAAGUUAUUUUCAAGGGUAAUUUUCUGCACUUUCUAAUUUGCUUCAAAAGAUUAAGUCUGGAAUGAAAAAGUCAUUUUUUAAUCUCUUAAAUGUUGGGAUAACUGAUCACAAUAUCCAGUCCCUUGGACUUUGCUGAAUCAUUACCUAAAAGAGAAUAUUGUGCAAUUGUGAGCACUUGAAAAAAGUUCUAAAAAAAUAUAAAAUGACUAUUAUAAUUUAACUUCUGUUCUUGAUGCUGAACAAUGACAUACAAUGGAAAUUUAAUUUUUGGCCAUUUUGUAAAUCUUCCCUAGAAACCAUUUAAUCCAAUGAAUGCUAAAUUUAUGUCUUAGUAUUUUACAAUAAUGAAAACUGCACAUUAGUUGUAUCCCAGACUGUAUAAAGAUACAUUUCAGGCAAAAAGUCUGUAUUGGCUCUAACCAGGUUAAUGUUUCUCUCCUAUUUACAGUGCUGGAAGUAUAGCAAUCUGGUCUCUGUUGAGAGUAAAGGGAAAUGGGAAAAAAGGAGUAUCAGAUCUGCUAACCAGGCCACAUAUGUAGAAAGCAACUAACAGCUACCUAUGGCUCCUGGGCUAUGAAUUGGUCAUAUGUCUUUCAAAGAUAAGCAAAAUUUGGAAGAUGAAAUAGAAAAUAAAUGUCCAAAGAAACAUGUAAAAACAUUUCUUACUACAUGAUCAAUCUUUGCUACUGAUAAGAAUAUUAUUACUUUAAAUAAACUAUCCUCUCAUAUAGUUUGCAUAGCAAUUUAUAAUUGUCAGUUCAGCUACUAGGUAUUUUUAAAAUAAGGUUUCAUGCUGGAAACAAAAAUAAGAACUUCCAUAAGUUUUCAUAUUUUCAUAUGGGUCAGAUCAGCUUUUGUAAAUCUCUGGCAUCAGAGGAAUGCCAAGAUCUUUUCAAAAUUAUAGUCAACAUUAUACAGUAUUUAAAGGUAUUAUCAACAUGUAUUUGCAAAUCUGGGUUUACCAACAUUUUUUCCCAAAAAAAUUUUCCACUCAUAUGACAUAUGACACAUUCAUCUAAAGUUUUUCUGUUAAAAUUAUUUUAAUUUUAUGAAAGUAAUGGUUCUUUCAAAUUGCUAUUAGCCACCUUUUAUUAUAUGGAUGGUGUCAGCUAAGAAGGAAUGCAUUUCCAAACUCUACUUGUUCAUUUAUGUAACAGAACUAGUUGAGGUUUUGGACUGGAACUGGGUAAAUCAAAGAUUAGGUCUUCGUUUGAACUCUGAAUUCUGAACAACUUUAUGAAAUAGACUAAGAUACAGUAAUUAACCCACCAUCAAAAAAUGAUGUAAAAUUGAUAAUCAAUAAAAUAAAUAUUUAGACAUUCAAAA